GCAGGGUGAGUUUGGAGUGUGCAGUGUGUUGUUUACAUGCAGGGUGAGUUUAGAGUGUGCAGUGUGUUGUUUACAUGCAGGGUGAGUUUAGAGUGUGCAGUGUGUUGUUUACAUGCAGGGUGAGUUUAGAGUGU